GCGCAAAAAAAGGCUAUCGGCUACUCGCAGCUCCCAAGUACUCGUACUACUGUAGCCUAAGGUCACUCUCACAGUCUCACUCCACAUCACGUCCUCCUCGCGCAGUACCGCCGGCCGGAGCCCAGAGCUCGAAGUCGAAGCGCGUCGUAUAUGUUGUCAGCGAGCGACCCGGCGGCAUAUGUUGACCGGACGGACAGACGGACGCCCCCGCAGGCAGGCGCACGUACGGGGCACCCGACCGUUGCCUGGUCUGGUCUAACAAAAACAAAAUAAGCCGGCCGAGUGGCGUGUGGGUGCAUCAUGUAUGUCGGCCACGGCACUGCGGGAGGCCUGGAGCAGCCGUUGGAAUUAAGCUGUGAACACACGCAAGAACUGAAGGAAAAGAAGGUGACGCCUGACGACGAUCGAUGAUGCAUUGGUACCCCCAUGAUGAUGAUGAUGAACGAGUCGUUUGUUUGGAGGAGCACGGAAACCGAGGAGCGUCCGGAGGUCAAAAGAGGCGUCAAAAAGCAGCAGCAAGCAGGAGGUAGCCAACGAUCCAGCAAAAAGCUCUCCCUCAUAUAUAUUCUUGUCUCCCUGUCCCUCACCUCAGUGCCCAAAAAGCUCUCCCUCAGACCUUUUUCUUACUGUCUAAGAGUGUGAGGACGCAGAAAUACUAUAAACAUUUUCUGAACUGUUGGAACUCGCAAGUUGGAAAAACAUGCAUGCCAUGUAUUUAUAA